UGGUGCAGUGACCAAGGCUUGGCCAGG
rnacentral:piRNA from 1 species